CCUCGCAGUGUUCAUGUGUCGUGUCGUCAGUGGUUCUUUCUCUUUUCUUCUUUUMUCUUCUGUCGUGGAGUUUGAKAUUUCGCYUCUUAUUGAAAAACAASCUCCCUAAAUCCAACAGUCAUGAUAUCAGAUAUUCAACUUGCUGCCUUUGCUAACAUCCUUGGCGUAUCACUAUUCCUACUGGUCGUAUUGUACCAUUAUGUUGCAGUCAACAAUCCAAAAA